CCUACGGGUGGCAGCAGUGGGGAAUAUUGCACAAUGGGCGCAAGCCUGAUGCAGCCAUGCCGCGUGUGUGAAGAAGGGCUUCGGGUUGUAAAGCACUUUCAGCGGGGAGGAAGGCGUUAAGGUUAAUAACCUUGGCGAUUGACGUUACCCGCAGAAGAAGCACCGGCUAACUCCGUGCCAGCAGCCGCGGUAAUACGGAGGGUGCAAGCGUUAAUCGGAAUUACUGGGCGUAAAGCGCACGCAGGCGGUCUGUCAAGUCGGAUGUGAAAUCCCCGGGCUCAACCUGGGAACUGCAUUCGAAACUGGCAGGCUAGAGUCUUGUAGAGGGGGGUAGAAUUCCAGGUGUAGCGGUGAAAUGCGUAGAGAUCUGGAGGAAUACCGGUGGCGAAGGCGGCCCCCUGGACAAAGACUGACGCUCAGGUGCGAAAGCGUGGGGAGCAAACAGGAUUAGAUACCCUAGUAGUC
rnacentral:rRNA from 1 species